rnacentral:rRNA from 1 species
GAUGAACGCUGGCGGCGUGCCUAAUACAUGCAAGUCGAGCGAACAGACCAGGAGCUUGCUCCUCUGACUUUAUCGGCGGUCGGGUGAUUAACACGUGGUUAACCUACCUAUAAGACUGGGAUAAUUUCGGGAAACCGGAGCUAAUACCGGAUAAUAUAUUGAACCUCAUUGUUCCAUAGUUAAAUACGGUUUUUCUUUCACUUAUAGAUUGAUCCGCGCCGCAUUAGCUAGUUGGUUAGGUAACGGCUUACCAAGGCAACGAUUCGUAACCGACCUGAACGGGGGAUCGGCCACACUGGAACUGAGAAACGGUACAGACUCCUACGGGAGGCAGCAGUAGGGAAUCUUCCGCAAUGGGGGAGAGCCGAAUGGAGCAACGCGGCGUGAGUGAUGAAGGUGUUCGGAUCGUAAAGCUCUGUAAGUAGGGAAGAACAAAUGUGUAAGUAACUAGGAUCAUCUUGACGGUACCGAAUCAGAAAGCCACGGCUAACUACGUG